GCUCACAUUUGCUUUACGGUCAUCUGCAAGUACUCGGUUGAUGGCUGGCCUCUGCUCUAACAUCCUAUCAAUCAUUUUCUGCUUAUAUCCCCAGCGAGUUGCACAGUCCUCAUGGGAGAAAAUAAAAACAUUUGUUAUAGCCAGUCGUUAUAACCAGUCGUUUAAAAAAAUUUCAAUAUUACAAAUCACUAUUAAAACAUAUACAAAUAUUAAUAACUAAAAACAUGGUUUAUUAUAAUUAUUUAUUAUAAUUGUUUCAAUGUUUUUGUUAACAGAUGCUUUUGUCACAAACUAUUUGAGGCUACAAUAAACUUACCGUCACCAGCGAGUGUUCAGGAAGGCCAAGCUCGGCUUGGGCUUUUUGCAGUUCCCUUCUUCUUCUCCAGCUGUGGGAGAACAUGCCGUUUAUUGCACGACACACAGCUAGAGCACGGUCUGUGCGGGCUUUUUCUGUCUUGUCGAUUGUGUUGGACACAGCUAGGUUUAGGUUGUGCCCAAAGCAGCUUAACCAGGGCCAGCCUAAAUUACGAACAGCUGCUUUUACAUUAGCUCCACUGUCCGUUGUGAUACAAGAUAUUUUAUUCUCGUCUAAUCCCCAAUCACUUAGGGCCUCCUGCAGGGCAUCGGCCAAGUUAGCUGCAGUGUGAUCCUCUGGCAAAAAACUAGUUUGUAGGCAUUUUGAUUGUAGUCCCCAUUCAGUAUCAAUAAAAUGGACAGUCAGAGACAUAUAAGGGGUCAUCUUUGUGCUCGACCACAUGUCCGUGGUGAGGGAAAAAUGCUCAACAGUUGAAAUAAUGUUUUGCAACUCACUCCGGACACGGUUGUAGGCACGUGGGACAGCUGUUUUGGUGAAAUAGUAACGCCCUGGCAGUUCAUAUUGGCUGUCGAGUGUGGUUAUAAGGUCUCUGAAAGAUUGCUUUUCAACAGUAUUAAAAGACACCAUUUCUUUGCAUAUGUAUUUCGUCACUGCGUCAGUGCACGUGUUCCACCUCGCACUGUCCCUUUUAUAUUUUGUGCAUCGCGCAAAUGCACCACUUAUCGAAGGCUGUGUUUGUGUGUCAGGCUUUUGUGGUCGAUUUUUUGCCGCUGGACCCAUCUUGGCCGCUUCAUUUUUGUGGUGUGCUUGAAGAUGUGCGUGUAAAUUCGAAGUGUUACCUCCGGAUGCUGCAACUUUCAUCAGGCAAAGUUUACAGGUUGCCUCGUUAACGUUUUCAGGUUCCCUGUUGGCAUUUGGUUUGAAUCCAAAAUAUUUCCAAAUAGGUGCUUUUGCAUUUCGCUUUGAAACCAGAUCUUCCGCCAUCCUUUGCCAGUUAGCUCGCCUCACUCUCCUCACAUGAUAAAUUAAAUCGGACACCUGCUGCUUCACUGCGGCGCUCGUUCCGCUUACGCUAAAUUACGAAGGCACGUAGUCACGAACUGAAUUAAGUGCUUUAUUGCUAAAGGCUAAAACUUCAAUACGAUGGGGACGGUGCCGGUGGUCAAGUGCUAUGACCGGUAGGUGGGUUAAACACCGUGUAUCACCGGUAACACCGACUAUCGCAACAAGCCUAGUUUCUAUAAUCAGGUUACAUUUCACGCUAGAGAGGUUCCUGUGGUACUGAACGGCAUGUCAUGUACCUGUUGUGCUGGGAAAGCACUGUGCAACCACAUCGUAGCACUACUGUUUCAAAGUGCUCAUUACAGUACCAUGGGGUUCAAGACAGUGCCAUUGCCACUGUCAUGCACUAGCUCACUGCAGACAUGGCACCGUCCUAGGACACAGGGAAUUGCACCUGAGUCAACAAACUGCAUGGUAGUGUGUAAACCAGUACCAAAAUCCCAGGAUCGUGCCUGAACUGGUGUGAAAUGUACACUGUACAGAGCAUAUAGUGGACCUCUUCCAGAUCCUAACAUCAUGGCCAGUGUUGAGAAGCUGCAAGAAAAACGCCCACAACCAGGCAUUUGCAAAAUACUGCACGGACUUCAGGACCUUAAUCUUGUGGACUCUAAGUUUGGCCCUGUGCCAUUUGGGUCUGUGCUCUCCUACCAGUGCCCUCUUGAAAUCAGUAGAGACAUUAUAAAACAUGCUCCUGCCCCUGAAUUUCCUCAACUGCCUGUUGAAGGUUACAAUUUUAAAUUUCAUUACAAUUUUCAGUCCAACUAUAAGCUACAAUGCCACUUAGAAAGCCUUAAGGUGUCGAGGGAAAUCUCUGCUGCUAUUGAGGCAGAAACCCGAAAGCAGUCUGAAUGCCAGUUGUGGACCAAGGUCCGGAAACCCCGACUGACAGCCAGUAGAUUCGGUGAAAUCUACCAUGUCCGUGGGGAGUCUACUGCCAAAGCCUUAGCUGCUCGCAUUCUUAGAGGAAGUCCCCAAACAGCUGCUAUGAAAAGAGGGCUGGACUUGGAACCUGAACUACUGAGGCAAUACUCGGAUUAUUGUAAUAUCUCUGUGAUGCAGUGUGGAAUAAUCAUCCACCCAGAUGCACCUCACCUUGCAGCUAGCCCUGAUGCUAGUCUUCGACCCAAGAGAAACAAUGCCAUUUGGAUUGGCAGAGGUAAAGAGUUGCGAUGUUGACAAUGUUUCUCAAGUAAAACACCUCUUCAAAGUUCACAGCCAGGCCUGCCUUAAGAAAAACCAUAAGUACUACUAUCAGGUUCAAGGCCAGCUGGCAUUAAGUGGACAAAUGUGGUGUGAUUUCAUAACAGAUACCAACACUGAUUUUACAGUUGAAAGAAUCUUUAGAGAUGAGGAGGUUAUAAACUCAUUGCGAAAUAAACUGGAUUAUUUUUAUUACAGCAUCUACAUGGAUGUAUUAUUACGUUGAGGCAUAAUUUUAAAAAGUAAGUAGUUUGUAAAAAAUAUGUAAAUAGUGUGUGUAAAUAAUGUAAAUAGAUGUAAACAUCUGUGAUUCCUGUUGUAAAUACUUUUUCAAUUUACAAUUUUUCAUUUUAGGUAAAUAUAAAUAGGGACCACUGACAAAAAAGCCUAUAUGCUUCUCUUAUGGUCCAUGGUUGCAUAAAACUACUGUAACCUUGUUGUUGUUUGUAUAUUGUGUUUGUAUAUUAGCUGCCGUGUAAGCUUUUGAUUUGUUU